AAUUACCAUAGAAAACUACCUAAGACUCAGGUGGCGCAAGCCUUAAUAUCCUGCCGAGGCUAGAUGCUGAACAAAUAGGGCAUCAUGUCAUCGGACAUGAUGUCUUUUAAAUUUUAGG
rfam:Lactobacillus mellis strain Hon2 genomic scaffold Hon2_scaffold1, whole genome shotgun sequence.